GGGAUCGUUCAUACCUCAUUUGGUCCAUCCGUACCCAUUCCGAACACGGUAAUUAAGCUUUUGAGGGUCAACAGUAGUACUGCUUUCACCAGGAAGUGGGAAUGGUUGAAAUGAUCCCU
rnacentral:rRNA from 1 species